UAUAAACGAUCUUCGGAGUCAGCCGCUCCGCAGACACGUCGGUUUGGAUACUCUGCCUGGAAACACCGAAAACUAACCGGAACCGACGGCCGACAGAGACGGACGGCUCUCGUAGGAUACGAGGGGGUCGAUUAGGUGUGACCGGCUGUGUCGGUGACUGUGAUGAUGGGAGGAGAGCAGAGCUAUGAGAGGAAGGCUGAGGAGAGAGAAGAGGAGGCUGAAGAACAUCAAGAAUCUGCCCAUACUGACAGCUCCGGAUCUGCUGCUGCUGCCGGAGACACCCCAGGAGAGCUGCCCCAGUGCCAGAUGGGAAACAGGAAGGUGGACAACAUGUGUUUCAUGAUCUCGUGCACCAACUGGUACUAAAGUGGUCCUGGUACAACAGGUUAAUGAAACAGAAGGUGUUAAUGUGACUUCUGGGCCAGACGCUGCAUUCAUGGACCCCUGAAAAUCCCAAACGAAGCCGUCGCUGAAAUCCCACAUGCUUGCUGCAUUGUUCCACCAAGCAUGAAAAUGACAAAUCACAAUUUUACAGGUUAAGCAAACAAUAUAUAACAUGUUCAUUAGUGAGCUUUAGCGGUGCUGGUAGGUGGAUGUUUCCCUCUAUUUCUAGUCUUUAUGCUAAGCUAAGCGGCUGCUGAUGUUGGCUUCAUUUACCGUACACAGACGAGAAAGGUAUCGAUCUUCUCAUCAAACUCUUGGCACAUUCCCUAAAUGUAAAACUUUUCUUUUAAAGUGUGACAGGCUGUGUUCCCAUUUCUAAGAAAAGGGAAGAUGCCUGGCUUAUUGUUAACUCUUGCAGACGCCGGCUCAGUGAAAGGAAUAACCUGAUGUCUCGUCCAUAAUGGGAAUAAUGUGGAUAGAAAACCUGUUUUGAGUGUCAGCUCCCUCUGCUCUUCCAGUGAAUUAACUGACCAGGUAAAUACAUGUAAAGGUAAAAGUUUGAUCCCAUACGGACUUUCUUUAAAAUCCAGUUCAGUCAUGAAAGAAGGUGUCACAAGCAGGGACGGAAAGGAGAUAAAGAUUCAUAGACUGUAUAUAAGAUGGCAUUCCAGAAAACGAGCAUAUCCACUUAAGUAGUUUAUCCUUUGCCAUGCCAAUAAAGACUGACUGUUCUAAACAUAAAGUAUUAUUAGAAAAAGUCUUAACUGAUUAAAACUGUGUAUGAAUGUGUUUCUCUUCAUGCUUGGGAGGUUGAAGGUCACAUUAGUAGACUAAUAUUUGGUUGGUCGCUGGUUGAAAUCCCACCAAUGUGUGAGGUGAGUUUUGAAUGUGAGCCAAAUCAAUUAUUUCAAAAGCAAUGACAGAAUAAAGAAUACAUUUUUUUUAA